AUAUUUACUUGGCAGGGGAGAUACCAUGAUCACGAAGGUGGUUUCCCCAGGGCGAGGCUUACCCAUUGCACUCUGGGUAUGCUGACCCCUGUGAUUUCCCCAAAUGUGGGAAACUCAAGUGCAUAGUUUGUGGUAUUGGGGGACUGCGUUUGCGCUCUCCCCUG
rnacentral:snRNA from 1 species